UGUUAUUAGGGGUGAAAGGCUUAUCAAGUUUAGUUAUAGCUGGUUCUCCACGAAAUCUAUUUAAGUAGAGCAAAUAAUAUGUAUAUAAUAGGUAAUGAGAUAACGAAAGUUAAUUUAUCAAUUAUUAUGUAUACGUAUAUUUAGUCAGACAUUUAGUGCCAAGAUUAAGUGUCAAGAGGGAAACAGCCCAGAGUGUUAAUUAAAAUAAUAAAAAAUAGCUAUUUUUAAGAAAAUUACCAAAAACAAAGUAAAGAGAUAGGCUUAGAAUCAGCCAUUCUUUAAAGAAAUCGUAAAAGAUCAAAUACUUUAGUUUCAUAUAAUUUAUAUAAAUGUUUAUAAUUUUCUAAAAUUUAUGUUAAAAAGCUAUUUAUUGAAAUUACACAGCAGGUAGUGGAGUGUUUUUUAUUUUGUAGAAGAUUUUUUGUGAAAAAAAUUGGAAAAAUAAAAAGUAAUCAUGCUAAUAUGAGUAAUAAAUGUGUGCUACCAAAUCAUACAUAUCGAAUAUCAUAAGUUUACGCAAUUAAAAUAAAUUUAUUGUGUGUUAUGCGAUAUCUAAACUUUUUAAAAAUUUUAAAAGUGAUGAAUUUUAUUUAAACUAUAUUUAUUAUAAAUGUAAAUAGAGAUCUAUUUAUUAUUUAAAUAUAUAUAUUGAAAAAAAAAUAAAAAAAAUCGUACCAACACUAACACAAGUUGAUUGGCUGAGUAAGCUAAGAUAAAAAAAAUAAUAACACUAAAGGAACUCUGCAAAUUGUCUUUGUAACUUCGGGAAAAAAAGAGCUAAAUAGUUUUAAAUAAAAAGGGGUAGCGACUGUUUAACAAAAACAUAAGACUUUGCAAAAUAGAAAUAUGAUGUAUAAAGUCUGACAUCUGCCCGGUGUUGCAAGGUAAAAAUUAUAGACGUAAGUUUGUAAAUAAACCCCAAUAAACGGCGGCCGUAAUCCUAACGGUCCUAAGGUAGCAAAAUCCCUUGACGGGUAAGUUCCGUCCUGCACGAAUGGUGUAACGACUGCCCCACUGUCUCUAGUGUUAAUUUUAUGAAAUUGAAAUAGACGUGAAGAUGCGUUAAAGUACAGCUAGACGGAGAGACCCUAUGCACCUUUACUGUUAUCUAAUAUUUAAUUAUGUUUUAUACAAAACUAGAGAGGUAGGAAAGUGUCUAUUAAUGGAAAACUACUAUUGUGUAAAAUUAAUUAAUAAUAAUUUAUAGGUAUUAUUUUUUGUAUUAGAAAGACAGUUUAGCUGGGGCGGCAGCCUCCUAAAAAGUACCGGAGGUGAUUAUAUAAUUUGUUUUAUACUAUUGUAGAAAAAGAAGAAUGAUCAAAACAAGUUUGAUUAUAUUACCAACUAGUAAUAUAAGGAAGUAAUUCUGUCAUAUUGAACCGAUUUUUUAUAUUGCUAAAAAAAUCGAUCAACGAAUAAAAGGUACGCUAGGGAUAACAGGCUAAUGAUUUUUGAGAGCUCCUAUUGAAGAAAUCGUUUGGCACCUCGAUGUCGGCUCAUCAUAUCCUGGUGGAGCAUACGCUGCCGAGGGUUUGACUGUUCGUCAAAUAAAAUGGUACGUGAGCUGGGUUCAAAACGUUGUGAGACAGUUUGGUCCCUAUCUACUGUACGUAAUAAAAAAGAAAAUUACACUUAUCUCAGUACGAGAGGACCGGAGAUGAUGGGUCAAUUAUGAACAAUUGUAAAAAAGUGCAUGUUGUUUAGUUACACCCAAAGAUACAACCAGUAAUGGGAGGCAAAUAAUUUUUUUUUUUAAUAAAUAAAGAAAAGACUAUUUUUAUGAAUAUUAAUAUCCUAUAAAG
rnacentral:rRNA from 1 species